GAGAGGGAGAGGCAGAGACACAGGCAGAGGGAGAAGCAGGCUCCAUGCACCGGGAGCCCGACGUGGGAUUCGAUCCCGGGUCUCCAGGAUCGCGCCCUGGGCCAAAGGCAGGCACCAAACCGCUGUGCCACCCAGGGAUCCCCCAUUUACAGAUUUUUUUAAAACGUUCCUUGUUAGAAUUAUAUUGCAAAAUACUGCUAUCUUUUAUUCUUAGUCUGCGGUUCACAGCUGCAGAAAGGAGUCUUAUUUUCUUAUUACCCAUAUGCUAUUUAUUUGUGUUUUUCCUAUUAGUCUGUCUAAUUCUUCCACAUCUUUUUUACUCCCCCAAAUGAAUGCUUAUUGGCUAGAAUUUAUAACCUCUGAUUAUGUGUAUUUCUUGCUCUGAAUAUUUCUCACAUUUGUAAAAGAAAUAUUAAGAUUAAUACACUGUCAUCAGAUUGUUUGCCGACCUGGCGUUUAAGAAAGAUAAGAUUCAUAGCUAACGAUAAAGGAAAUCUCCCUGCCUGGUCAUCAUUAGGUUUUUAUAGGAAAUAGCAGACAAAAAAAGAAAAUAAUGCUGAGGUUAGGGACAGGAGGAAAAUCAACAGUAUUUAGGCAUCAGAUAUUUUUUCCUGCAUGUGAAUUUCAACUAUUUAAUAAAUAUUUAUUGAGCCCUUUCUGCCUGAAUGACAGAAAUACAGUAUCAGGAAGAAAAAGAUGAAUAUUAUCUAAUCAUUAUCCUUUGGGGCUCAUGAUGAAACGAAAGUAUAGAAAUAAAGGUACAAUGAGAAAAUAAUAUAAAGAGAAAUUAUCAGAUUAAAUUGAAUUUUUUCGUGGUCUUUCAGAAUGAUGUCAUACGUACUAAGAAAGAAUGAACCCUGGGUUCCAGACCAAGUCACAACUUUUUCAUUUAAAGAUGUCACUAAAAUAGAUUCUGAUGAAUCCCACCGUGUUUUUAAAGUUCAGACCUGGAAAAAAAAAAAAAAAAGAAAGUUCAGACCUGGUAACUACCUCAUAUGCUAAUAGCAAGAAGAGUAAAUGAAUUUUUGUCUAGCUUUGUGACCCUGGCCACAUCACUCCAAUUUUAGGGGCUGUAAUUGCCUUGUGUAUAAUAUGGACAUAAUAUUUGUUCUGCAGGCUCCUUCAGCUUGUAAGAAGCUAAAAAUUAAUCUAUUGGAAGUGAAAACCGUAAAGUGACUGAUAAGGGUAACAGAAACUUGUAAUUUCCUUUUUGGUUCAUCCCCCUGAAUGGGCUUCAGAGUACUCCCUCCUUAAAGAUGCUAGUCCCAGGCAAGCUGGUGUAUUAGAAAUGGGGGGAUGCUCCCGUGAAGACGUGAGUUCGUCUCCCAGGGGUUUGUCACUACGAUUACAGUCUCAGACAGAAAAGGACACUCUAGCGACAUCUUCGUUUCUUCUCUUCUUUUUUUUUUUUUAUUAUUUUUUAUUUAUGAUAGUCAGAGAGAGAGAGAGAGAGAGAGAGAGAGGCAGAGACACAGGCAGAGGGAGAAGCAGGCUCCAUGCACCGGGAGCCCGACGUGGGAUUCGAUCCUGGGUCUCCAGGAUCACGCCCUGAGCCAAAGGCAGGCGCCAAACCGCUGCGCCACCCAGGGAUCCCCGUUUCUUCUCUUCUUACUUCACGCCCCUCCCAAAGGAAACUUGAAGGCCCCGAGGUCAUCUUUAUAUACAGUAGUCCUAGUCCGCCCUUAUCUGUAGCUUCGCUUCCCGCAGUUUCAGUUAUCUGCGGGGUCACCUGCUGCGGGGAAGCUGAGGAUUCCCCCUCAUGACAAUCAGCAGGCCAAUAGUAGCCUAACUCUACGUCACAGCUGCUACGUCAUUGUCAUCAUGUCACGUAGGCGUUUUAUCAUCUUGCGUCAUCACGAAGAUUCACUCAAAAAAAUAUUGACUGAGGCCCUAGUAUGCACAGACUAGAGGGCAAUGAGAUUGCAAAGCUGCCAAAGGUUGGGGUAAUUUGUUACACAGUGAUGAAGUAACUUUCUAGUGGAGCUCCUCCUGCCUGCGGUGCUGCAUCAGCAAACCAAAGCUUUUCAUGAUGAAGAAUGGGAUCCAAAGCCUUCAGCUACUGGCCUAUGGGAUGAGGUGUACAGGCAAGGUUCUCACCGAACCCUUAGAUUUCACUGUUCCUCUCUUCCUCACAGAAGAGCCACAGGUAAACUUCAAAGCCGGAGAUGGCCUUUAACCAGUCUAUUGAUUUGUCUGAGAGCUUCCACCUUCUAGACUCUGCCUCAGGCCAACGUUUGAUGAAGAGGAGAAGAGAACAGAAGCACAAACAUAAGAGCUUAAAGCAUCAAAGAAUUUCUCUAGAGCACCUAUUCAGAUAACCUUCAAACCAUCCUGAAAAUCUACGAAUUCGGCCUGAGAUUUAAAGAGAGACCAGCUGGAAUGCUACAGUGAGAGGAGUUCACGCUUCUAUCAAGGUAGGAAGACGGGGAAAAGAAAUAAAGAAACAAAAGGCCUCCGAGGGGGAGGGGCCCCGGAGGAGCCGGGCUGAGGCCGGGGCGAGUGUCCCCAGGACAGGAGAGCCCCGUCCCGGAGGAGCAGGAGCUGCACCAACCUUCCCGGGCGGGCGGAAAGGGGCUCGCAGGGAGUUGGAGCAGGACCCAGGAGGGCGGGGAUGCCCUCGGGCUUCCGGGGACACUAACAGGCACCUGCAAGCGCAGGAGAGUGCUCCGAGCUCCCUAAGGGCUGCAGCACGCACCGGAGCAGUUCGGAGGGGCUCGGGAGCGGCUCCAGGGAGGGAGCUGCGGGGCGGGAGCGCAAAUCCAACAACACAGGCCCGGGAGCACAGGGCGCCGGGACACAGCCCAGGAUCCGGCCUCCCCCUGGGACAGGCAGAGGCCGGGAGGGCCCAGGACAGCAAGGACGCUCCUGCCCCGAGCUGAGCAGAUCAGCGGCCCCGCCCCGGAGCCUCCAGGCCCUGCGGACGGAGAGCCGAGAGCCCCGAGCCCCGUAGUUCCUGCGGAGACUGAAUCCAGGCUUCCAGAGUUGCCAUAGCAACUGCCGCUGAGCAGGCAGGGGCAGAGCAGCUCCCCCAAGUGCUAACACCUGAAAAUCAGCGCAACAGGCCCCUCCCCCAGAAGACCAGCUGGACGGACCAGCUCCAGGGGAAGUCAAGGGACUUAAAGUCUACAGAAAUACUCCCCCGUGUUUUUUUUUUUUCUUUUCUUUUUUCUUUUCUUUUUGAUUUCUGAUUGCUUCCCCCACCCCCUUUUUUUUUUCACCUUUCUUUCUUUUUCUUUCCCUUUUUCUU